GAACGCUAGCGGCAGGCUUAUACAUGCAAGUCGUGGGGCAGCAUGAGUAGCAAUACUUGAUGGCGACCGGCAAACGGGUGAGGAACACGUACACAACCUUCCUUCAAGCGGGGAAUAGCCCAGAGAAAUUUGGAUUAAUACCCCAUAAUAUAUUUGAUAAGGCAUCUUAUUAAUAUUAGAGCUUCGGCACUUGAUGAUGGGUGUGCGGCUGAUUAGAUAGUUGGCGGGUAACGGCCCACCAAGUCUACGAUCAGUAGCUGAUGUGAGAGCAUGAUCAGCCACACGGGCACUGAGACACGGGCCCGACUCCUACGGGAGGCAGCAGUAAGGAAUAUUGGACAAUGGACGAAAGUCUGAUCCAGCCAUGCCGCGUGAAGGAUUAAGGUCCUCUGGAUUGUAAACUUCUUUUAUAUGGGACGAAAAAGGGCAUUCUUGUUCACUUGACGGUACCAUAUGAAUAAGCACCGGCUAACUCCGUG
rnacentral:rRNA from 1 species